CGGGCACCCCCGAGGCCACCGCACCCGCUCCCGGGGAGAACAUCGCCCGCCUCCCCCUUCGCCGCGGCCCCGGGAGGUUCCCGCCCGCAGGGCCCCCCGGGAACGAGGGCUCUGGGGCCCGCCGGGGCUCCGGCCACGGGCCCGCUCCGGCCGCGGGGAGCCGGGGCCCUGCCGGGGCAGGGAAGAACGGGGGCAGCCGUUCCCUCGUUCCUCCCACGCUCCGGGCCCCCGAGCAGAGCUGCCCGUCUGUCCCCGUGUCCCUUUGUCUGUCCUCAGGCGGCCCCAGGAGCUGGCACUGACCGUGCCGCGGCUCGGGCACAGGCUGCUCCCAGCUCUGCCUGCGGAACUUCGGCAAUUACCCACAGCAGUUCUUUGCCCCGCCAUCCAUAAGGUGCAGCUCAGCUGACACCUGCCAGACGGGGAAGGCCCUGCCUGGGAGGGAAACGGCUACAGGGGAGGAAACCAAGAAAUGCUCCAACCGGACGGUGCUGCGCGAGUCAAAAGAGGGGCAAGACCGCAGAGAAAUACAGUCAGGAAAUGCGCUUUUAUUCAGUCGCUGCAGGAGCCCUUCGCAGGCACGGGCCGGAGGGAGCGCGGUUGACUGGGCUGUGCCCGGCUGGGGACGGGCACCAAUUCAUCACUGCCCUGCUCAGGGAGGUUUUCCGGCCGUGUCCGGGCUUCACCCAACGGCUGCAAAGGUGCUCGUGCGACAACCGAGCUCAUUUGCAGGGAUAAAGGAGCCAAACGAGUCCGGAGGAAUCCCUCGCUCCGAGGCAAAGGCGUCGGUCGAGUGUCGCCGCCUGGUCCCGCCUGCGGGGGGGGCGUCUCCUCCAGUUUCCCAGGGAGAAGAACAGGAACUCACAGCCACCAAGGCCUGACAGUCCCCUGCAGCCAGAGCUCAGCACACACCCAGAGAGGCAAUUCCAGCAUCUAAAAGAAAAAAAAAAAAAGAAGAAAAAAGUGAUUUAUUUUGUUUUAAAAUUAUUUUAAGGACUGCUCCAACCCAGCUCUGAAGCUGCCAAGCCCAAACUGUCCCCAGCGCUCUGGAACAACAGGAUCUUCCCAGGGAUGAUGCAUUGGAAGCACAGCCCUCAUUCUCACCCUCCACACGCUCCCAGGCUCCCCCCAAAUUCAGGACAAGGGGCCAAAGGCCACUCGGGCCGGGGCUCUCUCUGCCUCUGCGGGCUCAGGGACUGCAGCCACCAGGGCCCUCCAGCACGGACAGCCUGGACCCAGAGCAGAUCCCUGGGCAUUAGCAGCGUCCUGGGCACACCUGGAGACAGAAACCAUCAGCCUCUGGGACAGCACUUCAUUGCCAGCACACACAGCCUGCCACAUUUAGGGGGACAGCUCUGGGACCACAAAGCCCAGUCUGACCCAGUUCUCCUGGGCACCAACACGGACUCCACAAACCCACAGGAAUGAGAAUGUUCUGCUGCUUUGACAAACUUCAGCCCAGCUUUGCAAACCUCAGUCCCUGCAGCUCCUGCUCUCCAGAGCCCCGUUCAGGGCUGGCUCCAGUUCCCUGGAGAACCUGCCCCAGCCCCACUCUGGGCCAGCCUGAGCAGAAGCCACUGGGCUGCACAAGGAAGAACCCUCCCCUGGCUGCUGCAGCUGGAGGGAGAUCCAGCUCCCAAUGGAAUGCUGGCAACAGCCUCCCAGAGGGUCUCUCCCCAGCCCUUGGCAGUGGCUCAGGAUGGCAGCAGCUCCAGUGCCAGCUCGGUCCCUGCACGAGUCCUUGUCCCAGCCCUGCCACACGGACACCCACGGGAGACACCCACGGGCACACAGGCCUUGCUUGCACAAUUCCUCACCCACAGCUGAGGGAAAGCCACAAUAUUAAGAAAUACCCUGGGUUGAGAGCACUCAUCACUCCAGUCCAUCAGGACUUGGAGGCAGUUGGGUAGGCAACAGACCCAAAUUCUAAUCCUACCUCUACAUUUCUAACAGGUUCUCUUAGAACGAUCCUGGACAGGAACUCAGACAACAGAACCCAUAGACUGCACAAGCAAUAACAGAAGGUUUGCCAUGAAGAACAGGAGUUCCUUGUUUUCCUUAACACUCUGGGACUGUAGGACCCAAUCUUUGCAACCAAGGGACACCAGAGAUGUGAUUAAUACUUAAACCUCUCCCCCGUGGUUCUGUCUCAGAGAACUGGGCCAGCCCCGAGCUACUCCCAGGUGCCUGCAGUGCUUUGGGGAGGGGCAGGACAAUGUCCCACUUCUGCUUGGAAACAUUCCAGAUGAGGAAAAGCCUCUUCCCUUCUCUCUCUCUGACCCAGAACCAAAGCAGUCCUGUAGGACAACACGGACUAUGCACGGAAGGCCCGAGUCAGUGGGGGAAAAAGCCUAAACAAACCAAACCACCCCAAAUUUCAAGAUAAAAACAUGCUGCUUCCUUAACAGGAGCACACCAAACUCAUUGAAGCCAGAGAGGAAAUUACAAACAAACAAAUAAACAAACAAAAGACCCAAAAAGAUGCUUUGCAGUGAUA